rnacentral:rRNA from 1 species
UACGGAGGGGGCUAGCGUUGUUCGGAAUUACUGGGCGUAAAGCGCACGUAGGCGGCUUUGUAAGUUAGAGGUGAAAGCCCAGGGCUUAACCCUGGAAUUGCCUUUAAGACUGCAUCGCUAGAAUCGUGGAGAGGUGAGUGGAAUUCCGAGUGUAGAGGUGAAAUGCGUAGAUAUCAGGAGGAACACCUGUGGUGUAGACAGCUUACUGGACCACUUCUGACGCUGAGACACGAAAGCGUGGGUAGCAAACAGG